UAAAUGGAUUAUCAAAAAAUU
rnacentral:piRNA from 1 species